AUCCAUCUGAUGAGUCCCAAAUAGGACAAAACGUACCUCCUAGAU
rnacentral:hammerhead_ribozyme from 1 species